AUCUGAAAUCAAGCAAGAUUACCCGCUGAACUUAAGCAUAUCAGUAAGCGGAGGAAAAGAAACUAACUAGGAUUGCCUUAGUAGCGGCGAGUGAACAGGCAAAAGCUCAAAUUAAAAUCUGUGAUCUUCGGUCAUAGAAUUGUAAUCUAAAGGUUUUCGCAGAAGGAUAAAAUCUAGCAUAAUUCUCUGAAAAGGGGAGUCAAAGAGGGUGAAAAUCCCGUAGUUGGCUAGGUUUUACCGUAUGCGGGGGCUCGAAGAGUCGGGUUGUUUGGGACUGCAGCCCUAAAUGGGAGAUAAACUUCUUCUAAGGCUAAAUAUUGAUGGGAGACCGAUAGCAAACAAGUACUGCGAAGGAAAGAUGAAAAGAACUUUGAAAAGAGGGUUAAAAGACGUGAAAUCGUUGAGAAGGAAGCGGUAGAAGAGAAUUAUUUGUGUGUGACGUUUGCAAAGAGAAUAGAAGCAUCUUGCCCUGGAAGUACUUCAUAGGCUUUGGGGUUCGUUUGUCAUUCUUUUCUAUUGCAUUUUCAUGCUCAAAAGGCAAAAUGAGGUCAUGCUAUGGGAAAAACGUCGAGGAAAGCCCGAGCAAUCGAGUCCUUAACGAAAUACAUAGUG
rnacentral:rRNA from 1 species